rnacentral:rRNA from 1 species
CACGUAGGGCGCGAGCGUUGUCCGGAAUUAUUGGGCGUAAAGAGCUCGUAGGCGGCUUGUCGCGUCGACUGUGAAAACUCGGGGCUCAACUCCGAGCUUGCAGUCGAUACGGGCAGGCUAGAGUUCGGUAGGGGAGACUGGAAUUCCUGGUGUAGCGGUGAAAUGCGCAGAUACCAGGAGGAACACCGGUGGCGAAGGCGGGUCUCUGGGCCGAUACUGACGCUGAGGAGCGAAAGCGUGGGGAGCAAACAGG